rnacentral:pre_miRNA from 1 species
CAGCCCCCUGUGGGUUUCCCUUUGUCAUCCUAUGCCUGAGCCAUCCCUGGAGGCUGGGACGGUGAAGGGAGACCCACGGGCUGCAAGG